UUCGAGCGUCAUUACAACCCUCAAGCUCUGCUUGGUAUUGGGUGUUACCUCCUUGGCUGGUACACCUUAAAAUCAGUGGCGGGUGCAUCUGGCCCCAAGUAUAGUAAAUUUCUUGCUUUAGAGGUUUAGAUGUGUGUUUGCUAUCAACACUCUAUUCAAUGGUUGACCUCGGAUCAGGUAGGGAUACCCGCUGAACUUAA
rnacentral:misc_RNA from 1 species